rnacentral:rRNA from 1 species
AUGAACGCUAGCUACAGGCUUAACACAUGCAAGUCGCGGGGCAGCAUGGGGGUUGCUUGCACUCCCCGAUGGCGACCGGCGCACGGGUGAGUAACGCGUAUCCAACCUGCCCUUCACCACGGGAUAACCCGGCGAAAGUCGGACUAAUACCGUAUGUUGUCCAUUGACGGCAUCCGAUUUGGACGAAAGGUUUGGCGGUGAAGGAUGGGGAUGCGUCCGAUUAGCUGGACGGCGGGGUGACGGCCCACCGUGGCGACGAUCGGUAGGGGUUCUGAGAGGAAGGUCCCCCACACUGGAACUGAGACACGGUCCAGACUCCUACGGGAGGCAGCAGUGAGGAAUAUUGGUCAAUGGGCGUAAGCCUGAACCAGCCAAGUAGCGUGCAGGAUGACGGCCCUAUGGGUUGUAAACUGCUUUUAUGCGGGGAUAAAGUGGCCCACGUGUGGGUUUUUGCAGGUACCGCAUGAAUAAGGACCGGCUAAUUCCGUG